rnacentral:lncRNA from 1 species
UCUCUUCCCGUCGAUAUAUCUAGAAAAGCUAGGGCUUUUCUCCACCGCCGCUAUCGCCGUCGCGGUCGCCACCUCCACCGCCGCUAUCAUCGUCGCGGUCGCCGGCACCUCCACCGCCGCUAUCGUCGUCGCGUGGCGUCGCAAUCAUAAAUCCACCGCCAUCGUCGUCUCCAUCGCUAUCCCCUCCUUCAUUGUUGUCUCCAUCGCAAUCGGGAUCCCUUCCUCCACCGCCAUCGCGAUUACCACCUCCACCGCUACCACCAACGCAACCUCCACCGCCACCGUUGUAGCCACCUUCGUCUCCAUCGCCAACGCCACUUAUGUCUCCGCUUUCUUCUCGUAUUGAUUUUUUACCCUAAAAUUUCUAUCUACCUAUGUUUUAAUUUUUAAACAUUUUAUUAGAUAAAUUUGUAUUGUUGCCAAUCAUCAUUUGUAGACUGCCGAAAUUCACUGUCCUCU